CCUACCCUUAGGCGGUGCAGGUGUGGCUGCUAUGUCACAUGUGCAUCAGUAGGUGGCAGAGAAGAGAGAGUCUAUGUCUAUGCUUGGUGUUCUGACCUAUGAACAUCUGAACAAUUAGUAGACUAACAUU